rnacentral:rRNA from 1 species
ACGCACGCUGGCGGCGUGCCUCAUCCAUGCAAGUCGAACGCACUCUCGUUUAGAUUGAAGGAGUUUGCUCCUGAUUGAUAAACAUUUGAGUGAGUGGCGGACGGGUGAGUAACACGUGGGUAACCUGCCCUAAAGUGGGGGAUAACAUUUGGAAACAGAUGCUAAUACCGCAUAAAACCUAACACCGCAUGGUGUAGGGUUGAAAGAUGGUUUCGGCUAUCACUUUAGGAUGGACCCGCGGUGCAUUAGUUAGUUGGUGAGGUAAAGGCUCACCAAGACCGUGAUGCAUAGCCGACCUGAGAGGGUAAUCGGCCACACUGGGACUGAGACACGGCCCAGACUCCUACGGGAGGCAGCAGUAGGGAAUCUUCCACAAUGGACGAAAGUCUGAUGGAGCAACGCCGCGUGAGUGAAGAAGGUUUUCGGAUCGUAAAACUCUGUUGUUGGAGAAGAAUGUAUCUGAUAGUAACUGAUCAGGUAGUGACGGUAUCCAACCAGAAAGCCACGGCUAACUACGUG